UGCAUAAAACAAAGUUAAUUUUUCCCUUCCUAUGUUGCCUUACUAUUGAUUCCAAGUAGCUUUUUCUUUCUUCUUUAUGUAGUUUUAUAAUGAUUUGUAUUUUUUAAAAAGGUUUCUGGGAUAUCAAGCUGAUAUAUAUGGGUGGACCAGCAUGAUUUUUAUGAGGACUAAUUUAGGAGUCAUUGGACCCCCUGCCAAAUCUCAGCAAUCAAUACAAAUCUUCUGGUGACCCUGAUGGUGGAUGGCCCACUGUGAGAAAAUCAUGCCAAUUGCUUGAUCUUACUCAUCUAACCAUGGUACUUCUGCUUAAAGAAUGUGAACUGUACAUCUUUUAAGGCCUUAGUUGGUGGUUUACAAUCCACUCUAGAGCCUACAGACUAUAUAUAUCAGGCUACCAAGAUGGAUCUGUACGAGUAUGGGAUGCCACAUAUCCGGUCCUGUCACUUGUAUCUGUAUUGGGAGGGGAGGUUAGAGCCUCAUCAUGGACAACCAAUAAAAUAUUUAUCUUUGAAAUGUAAUGAAGGGAUAGCUCUCUUUUGAUUUUGAUGAAUGUUGAUAAAAUAAGUGAUGGUUAGGUUAUUUGGGAGUAUGGCCUGUUAAAGCAACAUGUAUUAUAUGAUUGUCAGGUAGCAGGUAUCAAAGUGGCUGGCAUAAGUGCUCUAGUAUCAGUGUUGGACUUCUGUUCCAUGACUAUGAGCCUGGUUGUUGGAAACGAAUGUGGUCCGCAGAUUACAAUUCCUGAUGUCAUUGAAAAUGAAUGGUUUAAGAAAGGAUAUAAGCCGCCCAGUUUCGAUACUGCAGAUGUAACCAGUCUCGAUGAUGUGGACUCCGUUUUCAAUGAAUAUUUUGUGGUAAAGUAAAACUGUCAGAGGAUUAUGUUAUAAGUUCUAUCUUAAUGUUCCUGUGCUCAGGAACCUGGAAAUCUUGUCGUACCUUGCAGAUUGGUGUGCAUGUAGUAGACCGUCAAUAUCUCCAAUGAGCAAUCAGUCGGAGUUUGACAACCUC